GUUUCUCUUUCCGAUUUUGGGGGCAGUGGUUUGCCUUGAGACGUCACUUUUCUGCCAGAUCUAAGAAGAGUUGUUAAUAUUUUCAGUUUGUUCAGUUAUUCUUGACAGGACUGAGUGGCAACUUCUAAUCCCCUUAUGUGCCAGACUGGAAACCUGGAGCCAGUUUAUACUGAUUAUAACAAUGAUGGAGAAGAGAAACCAUGUUAAUGGUAGUGGGACAGGCUGUCGUGAAGAGAGCUACGUGGAGCUAUAACUUACAACAGGAAUUUGACCUCCUCUGGAUCCCAAGGGGCCCUUGGAACACCCUGCUUGUGGACUAAGAAACAUUUUGGAUUUUUGUCUUGUGACAUCUCUUCUUUCAUCAACAUGGAAAAAUGGUCACUGGGUUCCUAGAGUGAGUGAAUCCUGAGGACAGAGGAGCCUGGCGGGCUACAGUCCAUGGGGUUGCAAAGAGUCAGAAUGAGUAAAUGGCCAAGCACAUGCAUGCGCAUCAGACUGUAAGGAGUUUCUAUUUUAUUUUUCCAUCUCAUGGCUCAAUAGUCUAGAUCAAGGAUCACAACCUUUGACCCAUGGGCAAAAUCUAGCCCACGGCCUCCAGUAUUUGUAGGUAACAAUUGGUCAGAAUAUAAUGAUGUGUGUUUGUGUGCUGUAGGCACGGCUUUGAUGCUGCAGUGGCAGACCUGAACAUUAUUUUAGAGACUCUACGGCCCACGAAGCCUAAACUAUUCAGCAUCUAGCCUUUCACAGGAAACGUUUGCUGCUUCUUGAUCUAGAUGACCUUUUGGUUCCCUUCUCAUACCAAGAUUUUGACUCUAUGAUUCUUGAGUUCAGCACAUUUUCCUCUGGAAAAAUCUACAGAACUAAUGCCAAUACUCCUUAAGGUUUAUUAUUUGUAAGGAAUAAGAGGACCACAGCCCGUUUCGUCUUUAUCUUCAAUUUCCACCUUAUAUGUUUCCAUUUUUAAGAAAGGAACAGAGAUGUUUUGAGUAUAACAAUUUCAAAACACAUGAGUUUGACUGAAACUUAGGCCACGAAUCAUAUUAAAAGUGUUCAUCUUUGUACAGGAAGGAUGAUGAAAUCCACAAGAGAAGAUAUUGAACUUGAAUGUUAUUCCCAUCAGUUUCUGAGAUACGAAGGCAGAAAAAGAAAAAAGAGAAAACUUGGGAGAAAAAGCAUCCUGAGAAGUCUUUCCAUUCCACCUCUAUAAUGUUUCAAGUGUGAAAGUUGGUUAAUCCUUAAUACUUCUUACCUUGGGGUUGUGGAUACCUGCGGUUUAAGGCAUUAGAAAAGCGAUCAGCUUGCUCUGGAUGAAAUUGCUGCAGAAUAAACAGCCUUAUAAGCCUAGCACUACUGUGCUUUUAGUGUAUUAUUCACCCGUUCAGUUUCUCUUCACUCUUUGGAUGCUUCACAGGGUUUCACAGCGUCUAUUCUGAACAGAUGAUAUUAAUGAGGCCAAUAGGCAGGCCCCAGAGAUUGCUGUUUUAAGAAAGCUUUACUGGAGCAAUCUUAACAUAACUUUCCUGAGUCUCUUCAGAUUUUUAAAAUUUUCUUUGGUUCUUUUUUCCCUUUGCCCUUGAGAAGCCCACAAUUUGCUAUUUCUUGUUGCUACUUACAUUUUCUCCUCUACUGACACUUUGGAUUAAGGUUGUUAUUAAGUUACCACUCCAUUCCUUUGGGACAACCCUAUCUCCAUACAUUGUAGGUGGAACCUUGCCAGCAACCUGCUGUUCACAAA